rnacentral:lncRNA from 1 species
GUUUUCUCCUGGAAGAAUCUUUUGUGAUAGCAUUCUGUUUGGAAGAAAUCAUUAAGGUGUCAUUCCCUGGGCUUCCUUAACCUCAUUUGUUUUUAUUUCAUCAGGAGGCAAAGGGUGAAGAGUGAAUAAUAUAAUAUGAUGGAAUCACUGUCAAGAAAAGCUUGUUCUCACUAACACCUGGAAAGUCCCUAAGGAUGCCUCAGAACUUCAUAUUGAUCAUGUUAGCCAUUGUGUGGCAGAGAUAGAGAGAUGUCAGAAAGCUAGAGCAAAACCGGGUCCUUUAGGGGCAGCUGAGGAGAAGGAGUCAUAAGAGGAGGAGGGAAGAUAGAGGGUUAACUACUUAGAUGAAAUAGCACUAGCCUUGACC